AGAAAGAUGCCUGACUAAAGGAUAAUUCUGAUAGAAUUAAUUAAGUAUAUUAAUUUACUCUUUCUA
rnacentral:tRNA from 1 species